rnacentral:rRNA from 1 species
UACAGAGGUCCCAAGCGUUGUUCGGAUUCACUGGGCGUAAAGGGUGAGUAGGUGGUGGAUUAAGUCGGGUGUGAAAUCUCCGGGCUCAACCCGGAGCGUGCGCCCGAAACUGAUUCGCUAGAGGAUGGGAGGGGAGACUGGAAUUCUCGGUGUAGCAGUGAAAUGCGUAGAUAUCGAGAGGAACACCGGUGGCGAAGGCGAGUCUCUGGACCAUUCCUGACACUGAAUCACGAAAGCCGGGGGAGCAAACAGG